UAAUAUGAAGCUGAUAUUGUUUUAUUUGUGUCUAGAGUUGUGUUGUGAUAUCUUCCCGUGAGUCCUUGAGUUUGAUCGUACGCAUUUGCGUGUAUGAUUAGUGUAUGAUUAAACCGAGGGUGUCACAUGAGGCGUGUCACACAUACCUCGACAGUCGCCGCAAUAUUCACACUCCCAAUAUUCAUCGUCACACAUUUCCGGUUUUAAUGUGGUAAAUGUGUAAACAACAACCGUGACACUAUAUCGAAAGAAUUGAACAUCUAAUUAUAAACAUAAGCAUGAAUAAUAAAAAUGGACCCAUAUUUGGUUGGAAUGUUGAUUCAUUACCCUUUCCGGCAAUUCCCAAGCACUUCAUAUGUCCUAGUUUCUAGCACUAGUCAAGACGAAAUUCAUGGAAAUUUUCGGCAUGACCUUUGCUAAAUAGUGGACAUAUGGAGCGCCUGAAAUU
rnacentral:lncRNA from 1 species